rnacentral:tRNA from 1 species
GGCCCCAUAGCUCAGCCUGGUUAGAGCGCUGGUCUUAUAAGCCAGAGCGCCCGUGUUCAAAUGGAUCUGUUUAAAGAUUAUGGAAAUCACGGUGGGGCCA